rnacentral:rRNA from 1 species
UACGUAGGGGGCAAGCGUUGUCCGGAAUUAUUGGGCGUAAAGCGCGUGUAGGCGGCUUUGCAAGUCGGGUGUGAAAGCCCUCGGCUCAACCGAGGAAGUGCGCCCGAAACUGCAGAGCUUGAGUACCGGAGAGGAUGGCGGAAUUCCCCAAGUAGAGGUGAAAUUCGUAGAUAUGGGGAGGAACACCGGUGGCGAAGGCGGCCAUCUGGACGGAUACUGACGCUGAGACGCGAAAGCGUGGGUAGCAAACAGG